UACGGAGGAUGCGAGCGUUAUCCGGAUUUAUUGGGUUUAAAGGGUGCGCAGGCGGAGGCACAAGUCAGCGGUAAAAUCGCGGGGCUCAACCCCGCUCCGCCGUCGAAACUGUGUCCCUUGAGUGCGCGAAGGGUAGGCGGAAUGCGUGGUGUAGCGGUGAAAUGCAUAGAUAUCACGCAGAACUCCGAUCGCGAAGGCAGCCUACCGGCGCGCAACUGACGCUCAUGCACGAAAGCGUGGGUAUCGAACAGG
rnacentral:rRNA from 1 species